rnacentral:rRNA from 1 species
AGGAUGAACGCUGGCGGUCUGCUUAACACAUGCAAGUCGAACGGAGUACCUCGGUACUUAGUGGCGGACGGGUGAGUAACGCGUGAGAAUCUGCCCUUAGGUCGGGGACAACCAUUGGAAACGAUGGCUAAUACCGGAUAAGCCGAGAGGUAAAAGAUUAAUUGCCUAGGGAAGAGCUCGCGUCUGAUUAGCUAGUUGGUGAGGUAAAGGCUCACCAAGGCAUCGAUCAGUAGCUGGUCUGAGAGGAUGAUCAGCCACACUGGGACUGAGACACGGCCCAGACUCCUACGGGAGGCAGCAGUGGGGAAUUUUCCGCAAUGGGCGAAAGCCUGACGGAGCAAGACCGCGUGAGGGAGGAAGGCUCUUGGGUUGUAAACCUCUUUUCUGGGGAAGAACAAAAUGACGGUACCCAAGGAAUCAGCAUCGGCUAACUCCGCGCCAGCAGCGC